GACAGAGGUGGCGAGCGUUGUUCGGAAUCACUGGGCUUAAAGGGCGCGUAGGUGGUAGUGUAAGUCUGAGGUGGAAUCCUGCGGCUUAACCGCAGAACUGCCUUGGAAACUGCAUUACUUGAGUCAGUGAGGGGAGGGUAGAAUUCCCGGUGUAGCGGUGAAAUGCGUAGAUAUCGGGAGGAAGGCCUGUGGCGAAGGCGGCCCUCUGGCGCUGGACUGACACUGAGGCGCGAAAGCGUGGGGAGCAAACAGG
rnacentral:rRNA from 1 species